rnacentral:rRNA from 1 species
UACGAAGGGGGCUAGCGUUGCUCGGAAUGACUGGGCGUAAAGGGCGCGUAGGCGGCUUGCACAGUCAGGCGUGAAAUUCCUGGGCUCAACCUGGGGACUGCGCUUGAGACGUGUGGGCUUGAGUGGGGAAGAGGGUCGUGGAAUUCCCAGUGUAGAGGUGAAAUUCGUAGAUAUUGGGAAGAACACCGGUGGCGAAGGCGGCGACCUGGUCCUUGACUGACGCUGAGGCGCGAAAGCGUGGGUAGCAAACAGG